rnacentral:rRNA from 1 species
CCUACGGGUGGCAGCAGUGAGGAAUAUUGGUCAAUGGACGAGAGUCUGAACCAGCCAAGUAGCGUGAAGGAUGACUGCCCUACGGGUUGUAAACUUCUUUUAUAAAGGAAUAAAAUGAGGCACGUGUGCCUUUUUGCAUGUACUUUAUGAAUAAGGAUCGGCUAACUCCGUGCCAGCAGCCGCGGUAAUACGGAGGAUCCGAGCGUUAUCCGGAUUUAUUGGGUUUAAAGGGAGCGUAGAUGGGUUGUUAAGUCAGUUGUGAAAGUUUGCGGCUCAACCGUAAAAUUGCAAUUGAUACUGGCAGUCUUGAGUACAGUUGAGGUAGGCGGAAUUCGUGGUGUAGCGGUGAAAUGCUUAGAUAUCACGAAGAACUCCGAUUGCGAAGGCAGCUUACCAAACUACGACUGACGUUGAUGCACGAAAGUGUGGGUAUCAAACAGGAUUAGAUACCCGUGUAGUC